rnacentral:rRNA from 1 species
AACGAACGCUGGCGGCAUGCCUAACACAUGCAAGUCGAACGAUACCUUCGGGUCUAGUGUCGCACGGGUGCGUAACGCGUGGGAACCUGCCCUUAGGUUCGGAAUAACUCCCCGAAAGGGGUGCUAAUACCGGAUAAUGUCUUCGGACCAAAGAUUUAUCGCCUUUGGAUGGGCCCGCGUUGGAUUAGCUAGUUGGUAGGGUAAAAGCCUACCAAGGCGACGAUCCAUAGCUGGUCUGAGAGGAUGAUCAGCCACACUGGGACUGAGACACGGCCCAGACUCCUACGGGAGGCAGCAGUGGGGAAUAUUGGACAAUGGGCGAAAGCCUGAUCCAGCAAUGCCGCGUGAGUGAUGAAGGCCUUAGGGUUGUAAAGCUCUUUUACCCGGGAUGAUAAUGACAGUACCGGGAGAAUAAGCUCCGGCUAACUACGUG